UACGUAGGGUGCAAGCGUUGUCCGGAAUUAUUGGGCGUAAAGAGCUCGUAGGCGGUUUGCUACGUCGGCUGUGAAAACCUGGGGCUCAACCCCGGGCCUGCAGCCGAUACGGGCAAACUAGAAUUCGGUAGGGGAGACUGGAAUUCCUGGUGUAGCGGUGAAAUGCGCAGAUAUCAGGAGGAACACCGGUGGCGAAGGCGGGUCUCUGGGCCGAUAUUGACGCUGAGGAGCGAAAGCGUGGGGAGCGAACAGG
rnacentral:rRNA from 1 species